rnacentral:rRNA from 1 species
CGACGUGAGCAAUCUGCCUUUAAGAGGGGGAUAACAGUCGGAAACGGCUGCUAAUACCGCAUAAAGCAUUGAAACCGCAUGAUUUUGAUGCCAAAGGAGCAAUCCGCUUUUAGAUGAGCUCGCGUCUGAUUAGCUAGUUGGCGGGGUAACGGCCCACCAAGGCGACGAUCAGUAGCCGGACUGAGAGGUUGAACGGCCACAUUGGGACUGAGACACGGCCCAG